GCAUAUCAAUAAGCGGAGGAAAAGAAACCAACAGGGAUUGCCUCAGUAGCGGCGAGUGAAGCGGCAAGAGCUCAGAUUUGAAAUCGUGCUUUGCGGCACGAGUUGUAGAUUGCAGGUUGGAGUCUGUGUGGAAGGCGGUGUCCAAGUCCCUUGGAACAGGGCGCCCAGGAGGGUGAGAGCCCCGUGGGAUGCCGGCGGAAGCAGUGAGGCCCUUCUGACGAGUCGAGUUGUUUGGGAAUGCAGCUCCAAGCGGGUGGUAAAUUCCAUCUAAGGCUAAAUACUGGCGAGAGACCGAUAGCGAACAAGUACUGUGAAGGAAAGAUGAAAAGCACUUUGAAAAGAGAGUGAAACAGCACGUGAAAUUGUUGAAAGGGAAGGGUAUUGCGCCCGACAUGGGGAUUGCGCACCGCUGCCUCUCGUGGGCGGCGCUCUGGGCUUUCCCUGGGCCAGCAUCGGUUCUUGCUGCAGGAGAAGGGGUUCUGGAACGUGGCUCUUCGGAGUGUUAUAGCCAGGGCCAGAUGCUGCGUGCGGGGACCGAGGACUGCGGCCGUGU
rnacentral:rRNA from 1 species